AUCCCCGUAUUCCUCCAUCUCCUACAGGCUGGAUCUCAAGUUGGGUCUGGAGAUGCACAACAUAAUGGUGUCUGAUGAUGAUGAAGAGUUCCUGGGUCGCCAGUGCAUUAUGAAUGAAGAGGAAUACAUGGAGGAUGACGGAGUGGUGAGAGCAGCCAGAAUCGUUGACUCAGAUCAGGAGGAAGUAGAAUCGACAGACG
rnacentral:lncRNA from 13 species